rnacentral:lncRNA from 1 species
CUUUCUAUGCUCGCACGCAGCGCGGAGCAUGGCGUCCCCGGGAGCUGGGGCAUGGGAGGCGGUUGUGGCGUGGGAUCUAGGGUGUCUGCAGCGGACUCGGCGGCCGUGUGAGGCGCUCGGCCCGCCGGACCCCGCCUGAAGCGGGUCGGUGUGGAAACCGAGCGCCGUUUGGAUGUAGAUCUUCGCCGUAGGCCCAGAACUGGGCGGGAAUAAAGCGAAGACCCAGGUCACACGGUAGGAUUGAUGGCCCGCUGCCUGACGCCCUAUUCAUGUAGCCUUUGUGUUGCCCGUUCACUUUGGUCGCUAGUGAAUGUGGUGUCAGAAAAGGCAUAAAUAAAUGCUUUGCGGCCUUUGCUUGCCCUGGAGUUCGGUAUCUCGGGUGUAGGAGCUGCAUAAGUUACAGAAAGUUUACUCUAGCCUGUGUGUGCAAGUGAUAUUGCUGUCCAGCCCAGGGAAUGUAGUUUCUUUAACUGGUUCUUCUUCGUUUGGCAGGUGAGUACCUGAAGCUUACGGAUAUUUCCUGAACGACACGUGGGAGCACAGAGUGGGUUAAAGGGUGUCCUUGAUGAUUUGGAAAUUUGAUCUACAGAAGCACGAGUGAUUUAAAUUUUCUAGGGGCCGUGUCAAAACUCCAUAGAUGAAUGCUCAUUUGUAACAAGACUAUGAAUAAAUGCUUCGAUGUGCUGUUCUGACACGUG